rnacentral:rRNA from 1 species
GCAUGUGGUUUAAUUCGAUGCAACGCGAAGAACCUUACCUGGUCUUGACAUCCACGGAAGUUUUCAGAGAUGAGAAUGUGCCUUCGGGAACCGUGAGACAGGUGCUGCAUGGCUGUCGUCAGCUCGUGUUGUGAAAUGUUGGGUUAAGUCCCGCAACGAGCGCAACCCUUAUCCUUUGUUGCCAGCGGUCCGGCCGGGAACUCAAAGGAGACUGCCAGUGAUAAACUGGAGGAAGGUGGGGAUGACGUCAAGUCAUCAUGGCCCUUACGACCAGGGCUACACACGUGCUACAAUGGCGCAUACAAAGAGAAGCGACCUCGCGAGAGCAAGCGGACCUCAUAAAGUGCGUCGUAGUCCGGAUUGGAGUCUGCAACUCGACUCCAUGAAGUCGGAAUCGCUAGUAAUCGUGGAUCAGAAUGCCACGGUGAAUACGUUCCCGGGCCUUGUACACACCGCCCGUCACACCAUGGGAGUGGGUUGCAAAAGAAGUAGGUAGCUUAACCUUCGGGAGGGCGCUUACCACUUUGUGAUUCAUGACUGGGGUGAAGUCGUAACAAGGUAACCGUAGGGGAACCUGCGGUUGGAUCACCUCCUUACCUUAAAGAA